rnacentral:rRNA from 1 species
GACGAACCGUGCGAACGUUAUUCGGAAUCACUGGGCUUAAAGGGCGCGUAGGCGGGCUCGUCAGUCAGGGGUGAAAUCCCACGGCCCAACCGUGGAAGUGCCUCUGAUACUGCGAGCCUCGAGGGGGAUAGGGGCGUGCGGAACUCAGGGUGGAGCGGUGAAAUGCGUAGAUAUCCUGAGGAACACCGGUGGCGAAGGCGGCUGCCUGGACCGGCCCUGACGCUGAGGCGCGAAAGCUAGGGGAGCAAACAGG